UAUGGUGCUUAACAAGUUAAAAGGGAAUAUGGUGCAAAUCCAUAGCAGCCCCCGCUACUGUAAGUGGGAUGAACGCUGAAGAUGUCAUUGAGAAAAGGAAGUCAGCCGCAAGACGGCCUUUUUUUGAGAAGACUCAGCAAGUAAACCGAUCACGAGUCAGGAAACCUGCCAUAUGGGAAUG
rnacentral:ncRNA from 1 species